UAAUACGUAGGGGGCAAGCGUUGUCCGGAUUUAUUGGGCGUAAAGAGCUCGUAGGCGGUUCGAUAAGUCGGCUGUGAAAUCUCCACGCUUAACGUGGAGGGGUCAGUCGAUACUGUCGUGACUCGAGUCCGGUAGGGGAGAAUGGAAUUCCCGGUGUAGCGGUGAAAUGCGCAGAGAUCGGGAGGAACACCCGUAGCGAAGGCGGUUCUCUGGGCCGGUACUGACGCUGAGGAGCGAAAGCGUGGGGAGCAAACAGGAUUAGAUACCCUGGUAGUCCACGCCGUAAACGUUGGGCACUAGGUGUGGGGCUCUAUCAACGGGUUCCGUGCCGUAGCUAACGCAUUAAGUGCCCCGCCUGGGGAGUACGGCCGCAAGGCUA
rnacentral:rRNA from 1 species